UACGGAGGGUGCGAGCGUUGUCCGGAAUCAUUGGGCGUAAAGGGCGCGUAGGCGGAUGGCACAGUCAGAUGUGAAAUUCCCGGGCUUAACCUGGGGGCUGCAUUUGAUACGUGUUGUCUUGAGUUCGGAAGAGGGUCGUGGAAUUCCCAGUGUAGAGGUGAAAUUCGUAGAUAUUGGGAAGAACACCGGUGGCGAAGGCGGCGACCUGGUCCUUUUACUGACGCUGAGGCGCGAAAGCGUGGGGAGCAAACAGG
rnacentral:rRNA from 1 species